rnacentral:rRNA from 1 species
GACGAACGCUGGCGGCGUGCUUAACACAUGCAAGUCGAACGGAAAGGCCCUGCUUUUGUGGGGUGCUCGAGUGGCGAACGGGUGAGUAACACGUGAGUAACCUGCCCUUGACUUUGGGAUAACUUCAGGAAACUGGGGCUAAUACCGGAUAGGAGCUCCUGCUGCAUGGUGGGGGUUGGAAAGUUUCGGCGGUUGGGGAUGGACUCGCGGCUGAUCAGCUUGUUGGUGGGGUAGUGGCUUACCAAGGCUUUGACGGGUAGCCGGCCUGAGAGGGUGACCGGCCACAUGCGGACUGAGAUACUCCCCAGACUCCUACUGGAGCCAGCCGUGUCUCCUCUUCCACACGUCCCGGCAGCCUGAUGCAUCAACUCCGCGUGCGGGAUGACGGCCUUCGGGUUGUCAACCGCUUUCGCCUGUGACGAAGCGUGCGUGACGGUAAUGGGUAAAGACGCACCGGCUAACUACGUG